AUGCAAGCUUGCUGUCAAGUUAACAUUGUUUUUCUUUCCGCAGGCAUUGGUGGUAAUCUGCUUCUACUUUCUAUAUGGGAGCGUUUGCCUGUUGGACGCCCGAAGAGCGUCAGGUUUAAUCCUUGGUAUGAAGAUGAACAUGACGAAUUACGGCGCCCCACUUGGGCUUACAAGUGGGAUGUGGUUUCCGAGAUGACGAACGAUGUCAAUCUCAUGUACCAAAAGUACAUUACCGAGUUGGACACGAUUACGCCUGAGCAGGUAAGGAGGUCAUUACUUCAGUCCUUUCUCAUGCUUGCUUGA
rnacentral:rRNA from 1 species